rnacentral:rRNA from 1 species
CACGCUGUAAACGAUGAAUACUAGGUGUUGGAAGCAUUAGUUUCCAGUGCCGCAGCUAACGCAUUAAGUAUUCCACCUGGGGAGUNGCAACGCGAAGAACCUUACCUAGGCUUGAAAAGCAACUGACCGGAUGUGAAAGCAUCUUUCCAGCAAUGGCAGUUGUACAGGUGC